UGGAUCACCUCCUAACAGGGAGACAACAAAAUGUAAAUAUUAAUUUUGUCACCUUAGGUCGAUCGGUAUCUCAGAUUCUUAUUAUUUAAGAAUUUCAGUUUCUAAGUUUUUUCUAGGUCACACCCAUCACUUUUUCCUGGGCCAUUAGCUCAGGUGGUUAGAGCGCACCCCUGAUAAGGGUGAGGUCCCUGGUUCAAGUCCAGGAUGGCCCAUAUCUCUAUGUUGGGGGUAUAGCUCAGUUGGUAGAGCGCCUGCUUUGCAAGCAGGAUGUCAGCGGUUCGAGUCCGCUUACCUCCACUGAAUACCACCUCUUACAUAUAGUUGAAGUGGGAAAUUGUUUUGAGUCGUGUCCUAAUUUGCUCUGAGCGAAUCUAGCUUCCUAUUUUAUCCAAGAAAUAAGAUGCUGGACUCAUUGAAUUUUUUUUCAUUGUUUUCAGAGAACCUUGACAACUGCAUAGAUUAUUUUUAAAGACAAUAAGCAUCUUUAAUGAUGCAGAUUUAUUAUUUGUGCGAAUGCAUUAAUAACAAUUCUAUUAAGCUGAUGCUUCAACUUUGAAGUUAUUGGGUCAAGCUACAAAGGGCUCACGGAGGAUACCUACGCACACCGAGGCGAUGAAGG
rnacentral:tRNA from 1 species